rnacentral:rRNA from 1 species
UACGUAGGUGACAAGCGUUGUCCGGAUUUACUGGGCGUAAAGAGCGCGCAGGCGGUCGAUCAAGUCGAGUGUGAAAGCCCCCGGCUCAACUGGGGAGGGUCAUUCGAAACUGGUCGACUCGAAGGCAGGAGAGGGUAGUGGAAUUCCCGGUGUAGUGGUGAAAUGCGUAGAUAUCGGGAGGAACACCAGUGGCGAAGGCGGCAUCCUGGACCAAUACUGACGCUGAGGAGCGAAAGCGUGGGGAGCGAACAGG